GGUUAAGCGACUAAGCGUACACGGUGGAUGCCCUGGCAGUCAGAGGCGAUGAAGGACGUGCUAAUCUGCGAUAAGCGUCGGUAAGGUGAUAUGAACCGUUAUAACCGGCGAUUUCCGAAUGGGGAAACCCAGUGUGUUUCGACACACUAUCAUUAACUGAAUCCAUAGGUUAAUGAGGCGAACCGGGGGAACUGAAACAUCUAAGUACCCCGAGGAAAAGAAAUCAACCGAGAUUCCCCCAGUAGCGGCGAGCGAACGGGGAGGAGCCCAGAGCCUGAAUCAGUGUGUGUGUUAGUGGAAGCGUCUGGAAAGGCGCGCGAUACAGGGUGACAGCCCCGUACACAAAAAUGCACAUGCUGUGAGCUCGAUGAGUAGGGCGGGACACGUGGUAUCCUGUCUGAAUAUGGGGGGACCAUCCUCCAAGGCUAAAUACUCCUGACUGACCGAUAGUGAACCAGUACCGUGAGGGAAAGGCGAAAAGAACCCCGGCGAGGGGAGUGAAAAAGAACCUGAAACCGUGUACGUACAAGCAGUGGGAGCACGCUUAGGCGUGUGACUGCGUACCUUUUGUAUAAUGGGUCAGCGACUUAUAUUCUGUAGCAAGGUUAACCGAAUAGGGGAGCCGAAGGGAAACCGAGUCUUAACUGGGCGUUAAGUUGCAGGGUAUAGACCCGAAACCCGGUGAUCUAGCCAUGGGCAGGUUGAAGGUUGGGUAACACUAACUGGAGGACCGAACCGACUAAUGUUGAAAAAUUAGCGGAUGACUUGUGGCUGGGGGUGAAAGGCCAAUCAAACCGGGAGAUAGCUGGUUCUCCCCGAAAGCUAUUUAGGUAGCGCCUCGUGAACUCAUCUCCGGGGGUAGAGCACUGUUUCGGCAAGGGGGUCAUCCCGACUUACCAACCCGAUGCAAACUGCGAAUACCGGAGAAUGUUAUCACGGGAGACACACGGCGGGUGCUAACGUCCGUCGUGAAGAGGGAAACAACCCAGACCGCCAGCUAAGGUCCCAAAGUCAUGGUUAAGUGGGAAACGAUGUGGGAAGGCCCAGACAGCCAGGAUGUUGGCUUAGAAGCAGCCAUCAUUUAAAGAAAGCGUAAUAGCUCACUGGUCGAGUCGGCCUGCGCGGAAGAUGUAACGGGGCUAAACCAUGCACCGAAGCUGCGGCAGCGACGCUUAUGCGUUGUUGGGUAGGGGAGCGUUCUGUAAGCCUGUGAAGGUGUGCUGUGAGGCAUGCUGGAGGUAUCAGAAGUGCGAAUGCUGACAUAAGUAACGAUAAAGCGGGUGAAAAGCCCGCUCGCCGGAAGACCAAGGGUUCCUGUCCAACGUUAAUCGGGGCAGGGUGAGUCGACCCCUAAGGCGAGGCCGAAAGGCGUAGUCGAUGGGAAACAGGUUAAUAUUCCUGUACUUGGUGUUACUGCGAAGGGGGGACGGAGAAGGCUAUGUUGGCCGGGCGACGGUUGUCCCGGUUUAAGCGUGUAGGCUGGUUUUCCAGGCAAAUCCGGAAAAUCAAGGCUGAGGCGUGAUGACGAGGCACUACGGUGCUGAAGCAACAAAUGCCCUGCUUCCAGGAAAAGCCUCUAAGCAUCAGGUAACAUCAAAUCGUACCCCAAACCGACACAGGUGGUCAGGUAGAGAAUACCAAGGCGCUUGAGAGAACUCGGGUGAAGGAACUAGGCAAAAUGGUGCCGUAACUUCGGGAGAAGGCACGCUGAUAUGUAGGUGAAGUCCCUCGCGGAUGGAGCUGAAAUCAGUCGAAGAUACCAGCUGGCUGCAACUGUUUAUUAAAAACACAGCACUGUGCAAACACGAAAGUGGACGUAUACGGUGUGACGCCUGCCCGGUGCCGGAAGGUUAAUUGAUGGGGUCAGCGCAAGCGAAGCUCUUGAUCGAAGCCCCGGUAAACGGCGGCCGUAACUAUAACGGUCCUAAGGUAGCGAAAUUCCUUGUCGGGUAAGUUCCGACCUGCACGAAUGGCGUAAUGAUGGCCAGGCUGUCUCCACCCGAGACUCAGUGAAAUUGAACUCGCUGUGAAGAUGCAGUGUACCCGCGGCAAGACGGAAAGACCCCGUGAACCUUUACUAUAGCUUGACACUGAACAUUGAGCCUUGAUGUGUAGGAUAGGUGGGAGGCUUAGAAGUGUGGACGCCAGUCUGCAUGGAGCCGACCUUGAAAUACCACCCUUUAAUGUUUGAUGUUCUAACGUUGACCCGUAAUCCGGGUUGCGGACAGUGUCUGGUGGGUAGUUUGACUGGGGCGGUCUCCUCCUAAAGAGUAACGGAGGAGCACGAAGGUUGGCUAAUCCUGGUCGGACAUCAGGAGGUUAGUGCAAUGGCAUAAGCCAGCUUGACUGCGAGCGUGACGGCGCGAGCAGGUGCGAAAGCAGGUCAUAGUGAUCCGGUGGUUCUGAAUGGAAGGGCCAUCGCUCAACGGAUAAAAGGUACUCCGGGGAUAACAGGCUGAUACCGCCCAAGAGUUCAUAUCGACGGCGGUGUUUGGCACCUCGAUGUCGGCUCAUCACAUCCUGGGGCUGAAGUAGGUCCCAAGGGUAUGGCUGUUCGCCAUUUAAAGUGGUACGCGAGCUGGGUUUAGAACGUCGUGAGACAGUUCGGUCCCUAUCUGCCGUGGGCGCUGGAGAACUGAGGGGGGCUGCUCCUAGUACGAGAGGACCGGAGUGGACGCAUCACUGGUGUUCGGGUUGUCAUGCCAAUGGCACUGCCCGGUAGCUAAAUGCGGAAGAGAUAAGUGCUGAAAGCAUCUAAGCACGAAACUUGCCCCGAGAUGAGUUCUCCCUGACUCCUUGAGAGUCCUGAAGGAACGUUGAAGACGACGACGUUGAUAGGCCGGGUGUGUAAGCGCAGCGAUGCGUUGAGCUAACCGGUACUAAUGAACCGUGAGGCUUAACCUU
rnacentral:rRNA from 1 species